AGUCCUACGGGAGGCAGCAGUGGGGAAUAUUGCACAAUGGGGGAAACCCUGAUGCAGCGACGCCGCGUGGGCGACGAAGCGCUCCGGCGCGUAAAGCCCUGUCAGCAGGGAAGAACAAAGACAGUACCUGACCAAGAAGCCCCGGCUAACUACGUGCCAGCAGCCGCGGUAAUACGUAGGGGGCAAGCGUUAUCCGGAUUUACUGGGUGUAAGGGGUGCGUAGGUGGCAGGGCAAGUCAGAUGUGAAAGCCCGGGGCUCAACCCCGGUACUGCAUUUGAACCUGU
rnacentral:rRNA from 1 species